UGGGGGCGGGAGUGCAAAACCAAACACCGCCCGCUGUGGACAAGUUGCAGGUGUGCUGCGGGGAGAGGAUUAGCGCCCCUGUGUACGGCCUUGUUUCUGUGGUGACCACACGAGCUGCUCUCCUUGGACACGCUGAGGGAUUUUAUGCAAACAACCUCCCAGAAUGAGCUGUGAGGACACCCGAGUCUUCCCAGGGGAAAUCCUUUUGACUCAGACGGAGAGAAAACCUCAUCAGGAAGAAACGACUUGAAUUUCCACCAGCUAACAGGAGAUGGAGGGUGGCUUUGAGAUGGAACAUCUUGACCAGCCGGAUUUUCAGAGCUCAUGGACAAGGCGAGGGCAGCGUGCUACCAGGCAGAGGCUGGAAAAGCGCCCGGUGUGAGAGGUCUCCCCACACGUCACAUGCCGCUUGUGUGACAGAACCGUCCCUCUCAUGAGCCUGCUGACUGAACUCUGAAUUUACAUUCCAGGCAAGCAAGAGGCCCAGGGUCAGACCCUGGCUUGGCUCCAGCCAGCAGCCGGUUUGGGAAACUGGGUGCAGGGGGAUCUCAGACCCUGGCCUGGGGACCCCCAGGGGUGGCGCUGGGAUGCGCUCUGGGUGGGUGAGGGCUACGAACCAUUUCCCCACACCGGGGUCAGUGCGGAGGCCUGGGCUCCAUUCUAAGGGAUGGUGCCCCGGGGUGGGGGGACAGGAAGGAGGCUUCCCCCAGGCCUGCGAUGGGGGGCUCAGUUUAUGGGGCGCCUGUGGCUUCGCUUGUGGGUGGAGAGGGAGCCGUUAAGAGC